rnacentral:rRNA from 1 species
AUUGAGCGCUGGCGGCAUGCUUUACACAUGCAAGUCGAACGGUAACAGGGUGCUUGCACCGCUGACGAGUGGCGAACGGGUGAGUAAUGCGUCGGAACGUGCCGAGUAGUGGGGGAUAACGCAGCGAAAGUUGUGCUAAUACCGCAUACGUACUGAGGUAGAAAGUGGGGGACCUUCGGGCCUCACGCUAUUCGAGCGGCCGACGUCUGAUUAGCUAGUAGGUGAGGUAAAGGCUCACCUAGGCGACGAUCAGUAGCGGGUCUGAGAGGAUGAUCCGCCACACUGGGACUGAGACACGGCCCAGACUCCUACGGGAGGCAGCAGUGGGGAAUUUUGGACAAUGGGCGAAAGCCUGAUCCAGCCAUGCCGCGUGUCUGAAGAAGGCCUUCGGGUUGUAAAGGACUUUUGUCAGGGAGGAAAUCCCUAGCGCUAAUACCGCUGGGGGAUGACAGUACCUGAAGAAUAAGCACCGGCUAACUACGUGCCAGCCGCCGCGGUAAAAC